rnacentral:tRNA from 1 species
AAAAAGAUAAGCUAAAAAAGCUUAAAGACUCAUAAUCUUUAAAUAGAAAUUCUAAUUUUCUUCUUUUUA